rnacentral:rRNA from 1 species
CCUACGCGAGGCAGCAGUGAGGAAUAUUGGUCAAUGGGCGGAAGCCUGAACCAGCCAAGUCGCGUGAGGGAAUAAGGCCCUACGGGUCGUAAACCUCUUUUGCCGGGGAGCAAGGGCCAGGACGAGUCCCGGUCCGGAGAGUAACCGGAGAAAAAGCAUCGGCUAACUCCGUGCCAGCAGCCGCGGUACUACGGAGGAUGCGAGCGGUAGCCGGAGUUAUUGGGUGUUAAGGUUGCGUAGGCGGUCUUUUGAGUCAGCGGUAAAAAUUCGGGGCGCAACCCCGUCCGGCCGUUGAAACUGGGGGCCUUGAGUGGGCGAGAAGAAGGCGGAAUGCGUGGUGUAGCGGUGACAUGCAUAGAUAUCACGCAGAACCCCGAUUGCGAAGGCAGCCUUCCGGCGCCCUACUGACGCUGAGGCACGAAAGUGCGGGGAUCGAACAGGAUUAGAUACCCGAGUAGUC